GCGGAAGUGGCGGAAUUGGCAGACGCGCUGGAUUCAGGUUCCAGUACCCGCAAGGGUGUGUAGGUUCAAGUCCUAUCUUCCGCA
rnacentral:tRNA from 1 species